AAGUCGUAACAAGGUUUCCGUAGGUGAACCUGCGGAAGGAUCAUUAACACUUUUUAUCCAAUAUCAAAACUAAACGUGAACUUUUUCCCCUCCCUAUAUCACAAAAAUUACACUCAAGUUUUUGAGUUUUUUUGAUAUAGGCUAACCUUUUAUUUUUUCAAACCCCUUUAAUUUUUUAUAAGUCUUUGUAAAAAAAGACUUGACUAACUAAAAAAUUUUACUUAAGAUGUCAACUUGUUGAUCUCUUAAUUAAUAUUUUUUUCUUUACGAAAUAAAUAUUAGUAUAUAAGAACAACUCUUAGCAAUGGAUAUCUUGGUUCUC
rnacentral:misc_RNA from 1 species